rnacentral:rRNA from 1 species
UACGUAGGUGGCAAGCGUUGUCCGGAUUUAUUGGGUUUAAAGGGUGCGUAGGCGGCCUUAUAAGUCAGUGCUGAAAUACUCUAGCUUAACUAGAGGGGUGGCAUUGAUACUGUAGGGCUUGAGUACAGUCGAGGUAGGCGGAAUUGACGGUGUAGCGGUGAAAUGCUUAGAUAUCGUCAAGAACACCGAUAGUGUAGACAGCUUACUAGGCUGUAACUGACGCUGAGGCACAAAAGUGUGGGGAUCAAACAGG